AUUGAACGCUGGCGGCAGGCCUAACACAUGCAAGUCGAGCGGAUGAAGGGAGCUUUCUCCUGGAUUCAGCGGCGGACGGGUGAGUAAUGCCUAGGAAUCUGCCUGGUAGUGUGGGAUAACGUCCGGAAACGGGCGCUAAUACCGCAUACGUCCUGAGGGAGAAAGUGGGUGAUCUUCGGACCUCACGCUAUCAGAUGAGCCUAGGUCGGAUUAGCUAGUUGGUGGGGUAAAGGCCUACCAAGGCGACGAUCCGUAACUGGUCUGAGAGGAUGAUCAGUCACACUGGAACUGAGACACGGUCCAGACUACUACGGGAGGCAGCAGUGGGGAAUAUUGGACAAUGGGCGAAAGCCUGAUCCAGGCAUGCCGCGUGUGUGAAGAAGGUAUUCGGAUUCUAAAGCACUUUAAGUUGGGAGGAAGGGCAGUAAGUUAAUACCUUGCUGUUUUGACGUUACCAACAGAAUAAGCACCGGCUAACUCCGUG
rnacentral:rRNA from 1 species